rnacentral:rRNA from 1 species
UAUCAUUAACUGAAUCCAUAGGUUAAUGAGGCGAACCGGGGGAACUGAAACAUCUAAGUACCCCGAGGAAAAGAAAUCAACCGAGAUUCCCCCAGUAGCGGCGAGCGAACGGGGAGCAGCCCAGAGCCUGAAUCAGUGUGUGUGUUAGUGGAAGCGUCUGGAAAGGCGUGCGAUACAGGGUGACAGCCCCGUACACAAAAAUGCACAUAUUGUGAGCUCGAUGAGUAGGGCGGGACACGUGGUAUCCUGUCUGAAUAUGGGGGGACCAUCCUCCAAGGCUAAAUACUCCUGACUGACCGAUAGUGAACCAGUACCGUGAGGGAAAGGCGAAAAGAACCCCGGCGAGGGGAGUGAAAAAGAACCUGAAACCGUGUACGUACAAGCAGUGGGAGCACGCUUAGGCGUGUGACUGCGUACCUUUUGUAUAAUGGGUCAGCGACUUAUAUUCUGUAGCAAGGUUAACCGAAUAGGGGAGCCGAAGGGAAACCGAGUCUUAACUGGGCGUUAAGUUGCAGGGUAUAGACCCGAAACCCGGUGAUCUAGCCAUGGGCAGGUUGAAGGUUGGGUAACACUAACUGGAGGACCGAACCGACUAAUGUUGAAAAAUUAGCGGAUGACUUGUGGCUGGGGGUGAAAGGCCAAUCAAACCGGGAGAUAGCUGGUUCUCCCCGAAAGCUAUUUAGGUAGCGCCUCGUGAAUUCAUCUCCGGGGGUAGAGCACUGUUUCGGCAAGGGGGUCAUCCCGACUUACCAACCCGAUGCAAACUGCGAAUACCGGAGAAUGUUAUCACGGGAGACACACGGCGGGUGCUAACGUCCGUCGUGAAGAGGGAAACAACCCAGACCGCCAGCUAAGGUCCCAAAGUCAUGGUUAAGUGGGAAACGAUGUGGGAAGGCCCAGACAGCCAGGAUGUUGGCUUAGAAGCAGCCAUCAUUUAAAGAAAGCGUAAUAGCUCACUGGUCGAGUCGGCCUGCGCGGAAGAUGUAACGGGGCUAAACCAUGCACCGAAGCUGCGGCAGCGACGCUGAUGCGUUGUUGGGUA